rnacentral:rRNA from 1 species
UACGUAUGGAGCAAGCGCUAUCCGGAUUUACUGGGUGUAAAGGGUGCGUAGGUGGCAGUGCAAGUCAGAUGUGAAAGGCCGGGGCUCAACCCCGGAGCUGCAUUUGAAACUGCAUAGCUAGAGUACAGGAGAGGCAGGCGGAAUUCCUAGUGUAGCGGUGAAAUGCGUAGAUAUUAGGAGGAACACCAGUGGCGAAGGCGGCCUGCUGGACUGUUACUGACACUGAGGCACGAAAGCGUGGGGAGCAAACAGG